CAAAACUGAACCUGUGGAUUAUG
rnacentral:piRNA from 1 species